AUUGAACGCUGGCGGCAUGCUUUACACAUGCAAGUCGAACGGUAACAGGCCGCAAGGUGCUGACGAGUGGCGAGCGGGUGAGUAAUGCAUCGGAACGUGCCCAGUCGUGGGGGAUAACGCAGCGAAAGCUGUGCUAAUACCGCAUACGAUCUAUGGAUGAAAGCGGGGGACCGUAAGGCCUCGCGCGAUUGGAGCGGCCGAUGUCAGAUUAGGUAGUUGGUGGGGUAAAGGCCCACCAAGCCAACGAUCUGUAGCUGGUCUGAGAGGACGACCAGCCACACUGGGACUGAGACACGGCCCAGACUCCUACGGGAGGCAGCAGUGGGGAAUUUUGGACAAUGGGCGCAAGCCUGAUCCAGCAGUGCCGCGUGCAGGACGAAGGCCUUCGGGUUGUAAACUGCUUUUGUACGGAACGAAAAGGUCCUGGUUAAUACCCGGGGCUCAUGACGGUACCGUAAGAAUAAGCACCGGCUAACUACGUGCCAGCAGCCGCAGUAACAC
rnacentral:rRNA from 1 species